rnacentral:rRNA from 1 species
GACGAACGCUGGCGGCGUGCUUAACACAUGCAAGUCGAACGGAAAGGCCCUGCUUUUGUUGGGUGCUCGAGUGGGGAACGGGUGAGUAACACGUGAGUAACCUGCCCUUGACUUUGGGAUAACUUCAGGAAACUGGGGCUAAUACCGGAUAGGAGCUCCUGCUGCAUGGUGGGGGUUGGAAAGUUUCGGCGGUUGGGGAUGGACUCGCGGCUUAUCAGCUUGUUGGUGGGGUAGUGGCUUACCAAGGCUUUGACGGGUAGCCGGCCUGAGAGGGUGACCGGCGACAUUGGGACUGAGAUACGGCCCAGACUCCUACGGGAGGCAGCAGUGGGGAAUAUUGCACAAUGGGCGGAAGCCUGAUGCAGCAACGCCGCGUGCGGGAUGACGGCCUUCGGGUUGUAAACCGCUUUCGCCUGUGCCGAAGAGUGAGUGACGGUAAUGGGUAAAGAAGCACCGGCUAACUACGUG